UAAGCUGUAGUUUAAUGUUUGAGCAUCUGGCCGUUAACCAGAAAGUAGUAGGGUAAGAACCUGCCAGCUUAA
rnacentral:tRNA from 1 species